rnacentral:rRNA from 1 species
UACCAGCACCCCGAGUGGUCGGGACGUUUAUUGGGCCUAAAGCAUCCGUAGCCGGUUCUACAAGUCUUCCGUUAAAUCCAACUGCUUAACAGGUGGGCUGCGGAAGAUACUAUAGAGCUAGGAGGCGGGAGAGGCAAGCGGUACUCGAUGGGUAGGGGUAAAAUCCGUUGAUCCAUUGAAGACCACCAGUGGCGAAGGCGGCUUGCCAGAAUGCGCUCGACGGUGAGGGAUGAAGC